CAUAACAGUAAGGUAAAAAUAUGUCCAUAUAAAUACACGCGCAUACCCCAUUCGAACUGGACAUAAACGCAUAUUCAUGUACACAUACACAAGUGAAUAAGGUACAUAACGUUAUCCUAUCUAUUCUAUGAGUGACUCGGUUCCAAGUUAUUUGUUGUGUUUUUGUAAACUAUAGGUAAACAGCAAACAUGCAAGAGCUACUUGCGCUUUUUGGCAAGAACGAGUUGUCAUAGUUUGUAAAUGCAAAUUAGUUAAGUACUUAAGUAUAAGCUGACACUAGAUUUUUAUCAAUCUGCCAAAAUGUUGAUCGUCAUUUGAUGACAACUCAGUCAAUCUGUAUUACCUAAUGUGGCAGACAUACAAAAUGUUAUGAAGUCCAACUUCACGAGGUAAUCUAGGUAGGAUCCUACCUUCCAUUCGAUUAUGUAUAUACGUAAGCAACAUCAAACCGUUUAUUAUAAUUCUAUUAAACAUGGGUGAUAAAGUACGAGCAUGCAAAUAUCUCCUUCCUCUAAAGUUUACUGAACCUAGCUCAACAUCUAGCUAGGGGAGUAUUUAAAUGAGGCAUCAAGAAGACGCGAUUUCCGUAAACAUUAAAUAGUUUAAUAAACAAGCAUGCAUGAGGCAGGUGGCAGCAUCCAAUAACUACGGGCCCUCUAACACGAUUCUAAUAGGAACGGCGCGAGCACCUGCUGGCGGCGGCCAAUGCGCGCGGCGCGAGAUUUGAUUAAAUACCGACUGUACCGAGUUACCGACACAUUUGAAUCAAGACUAUUGCUUCUAACAUUACCUCAUUCAUUACGCACAGAUCGCCCACUCGCCAGCUGCCGGCAGUUCAACCUGAGCAGCGCAGGAUGUCAUUACUUUGCAAAAAGUGCUGCGGCCGCAAUCAGCGCGGCGGCGGCGGCGGGGGCAGGUGCGCGCGCGCUCAUUACGCUAGUAUAGAAAAUCCGCACAACACCUGCGCAGGAAAAUGUCAAUUUUCUCCACGCCCACUCGCCCUGGGCCGGAGAAAUUUAUUAGCGGCCUCACAAUCGCCAGACAAAUGCCGCUCGUAAACUACGCCAAGUAACGAUAGAACCGCCUUUGAUAUAUAUAUACCAGGCGUUUCCUGUAACACGAGCAAAUAAUUAAACAAUAUAUUUUACUCCUAAAAUGAUAUAACUUCUGAAUAAAAACUUUAAAAAAUUAUGAAAUCUUUAGAUUUUAACUUUUUCAUACAAAUUUAAUAUUAUUUUCAAUGUACGCUGACAUCAGUGUGAUUGACGUUGCUUGUCACGCUUUCAACAUAACAAACUUUGCAAUACAUUGCGUCUUAGAAUUAACUUCAAUGUGUAAUAAAAAUCAAAACAUAAGUUAUUUUUCAAAGUUGUUGAACAAAUGUUGGUGAGUUUGAGGAGUACAGCCUACAGUUUAAUUUAUUGCUCCUGUUACAGGAAACACCCGGUAUAGAUACUCGUAUAACCUACGCGAGUUGCAGCUUAGAUGAUAAAUAAAGGUGAUAAUUGAGUGAUGUAAGCAUCUAAGUAUGCAAUUGGCGUGUUUAUACUUCAUAGUCUGCAAAUAUUUAAAAAAAAUGGUACUAAGAAGACUAGUUAGAAUUUUCAGUUUUUAGCAAAUCUUUAUUUGGUGAAAAGACUACUUCAAUAUACCUGAAACCUCAAUGAUAUCUUCCUGUUACCAUUGAACUCUUUAGGGUAUGCUUAAUAGCUAUAACCACGAAAAUCGAAGUUCGUCAAUUGCGGGCAUUUGUUCUCUGUCACUCUAAUUACAUUUUAGUGAGAUUAAAUGAGAAAGAUCCCCGCAAUUUGCAAAUUACGGUUUUUGCGGUAGGCCCCUUGGCACCGGCAUAUUAAACAUCAAGAUAGACAAUUGCAUAUGUUGGUUGGUGUACCUACGAGAGGACCUACCAUACCAUACAGGGAUAAGUUCGCCUUUGUUGUAUUUAAUUUACUCUGUAACUGUGUUUUUCGUGUUUUUAUUUCUAUGUACAACAAAGUAUAUACAUACAUACAUACAUACAUACAUACAUACAUACAUACAUACAUAUCUACCUACCUACCUACCUACCUAUAGGUACUUUUAUUUAGACAUGGUUUCAUUCAGGGUUUUAGGAUCGUAUUCAACAAAGUUAUUUAUAUAAUGAAAAGAAAAUCAACAAAGAUUGAUGAGAACCUAUUUAUUACGAUUAAGUACACUUACAUACAACAAACAAUUUAGGUACCUACAACUCUAAACUCAAUCACUUGAUUGUCACUUGGCAAUCAGAGAAUCAAACUGCUAACUUUAUCACACUUACCGGCGAUUUGUAUAAUCAUCACGGAUAUUUGUUUCUGAUGAGUUAUGAACGUUUUCUAAGUAGGUAAUUGACAUCUAAUCUUUGUCCAUGUUACCAUACCUUUAUAAGCUUGUUAAUGAUUAUAUAUUUAUUUGUUUCAUUAUGCACUAAAUCCAAUUUUUUAUUCUAGUUUUAUAUAGUGGGGUACGUUGGUUUAUCUGCCCGCUUUAUGUAAUAUACCACCAACCUAUAAUGCA